rnacentral:rRNA from 1 species
CGGGCGGGUGAGUAAUGUCUGGGAAACUGCCCGAUGGAGGGGGAUAACUACUGGAAACGGUAGCUAAUACCGCAUAACGUCGCAAGACCAAAGAGGGGACCUUAGGGCCUCUUGCCAUCGGAUGUGCCCAGAUGGGAUUAGCUAGUAGGUGGGGUAAAGGCUCACCUAGGCGACGAUCCCUAGCUGGUCUGAGAGGAUGACCAGCCACACUGGAACUGAGACACGGUCCAG